rnacentral:rRNA from 1 species
AUUGAACGCUGGCGGCAGGCCUAACACAUGCAAGUCGAGCGGAUGAAGGGAGCUUGCUCCUGGAUUCAGCGGCGGACGGGUGAGUAAUGCCUAGGAAUCUGCCUGGUAGGGGGGGAUAACGUCCGGAAACGGGCGCUAAUACCGCAUACGUCCUGAUGGAGAAAGUGGGGGAUCUUCGGACCUCACGCUAUCAGAUGAGCCUAGGUCGGAUUAGCUAGUUGGUGGGGUAGAGGCCUACCAAGGCGACGAUCCGUAACUGGUCUGAGAGGAUGAUCAGUCACCUGGGAACUGGACCACGGUCCAGACUCCUACGGGAGGCAGCAGUGGGGAAUAUUGGACAAUGGGCGGAAGCCUGAUCCAGCGAUGCCGCGUGUGUGAAGAAGGUCUUCGGAUUGUAAAGCACUUUAAGUUGGGAGGAAGGGCAGUAAGUUGAUACCUUGCUGUUUUGACGUUACCAACAGAAUAAGCACCGGCUAACUUCGUG